AUCAGAGGCCCUAUAUAAGCUUCCUUCCUCCCUUUCUUCCUUCUUUUUCACCUCCAGCAUGAUGUGUGUGGCUGCACUAGCUAAAACAACACAUGCAGACAAGGCAAGAAAGAAGACAUCUGUCUAAGAUAAUACAUUCAUUAACAGAACCUGCUGAUUGCUUCUGAUUCUGUCCAUAUAUCAAGUCCAGUGUAUUCUUGUCCAACAAGUCAUUAAUUUGUAAUUUUAAAAAAAACAUCAUUGUUGGAAGUCUUCCAUGACCCUGAUGCGCUCUGGGAGGAGCCACAGGCUCACCUGUGCUGUCUGGAGUCAACAGAAGAGCUGAAUCUGUGCUUUUAUAACUAGGAGGAGACUCAUUCCCGUUUGCUGUGCCACCAACCAGACCUAUGUUCCCUUAUGCUUCUAAAGUGUGAUCGCUGUGGACUUCAGGAGGAACUCGGCAGAGGAUGUACUUCCUGCGGCAGCUGAAAAAAUUCAACCUGCCACAGAUGGUGCCAUGAUCGCUGCUGCCACCGCCAGGGACAAUUUUUACUGCUUAUUUGCACCAACAAACCAAAGCAAAUUCCUAGUGUAUACCUGAUACACCUGGCAUAAACAAGAUUUUGAUUCUGUUUAACUGAUGUAUUGUUUGUUUGAAUAUUAUUUUAAUUUAUUCAGAGCCAAUAAGAGUUUGAUAACUAAGAUGAGUGAAUGCAUGGGACUGAUCUCUAAUGUCAUGUCAUUCUCUAUUCAUGUAAUGUAUGCAGACCCACCACUUGCUGUAUUUAAAGGAGAAGUUUGUGUCAAAAUAAAGUCCCUUUUUGGUGAAAUCUGCUGACUCGCUGUCCCUAAUUCUGGUGCCGCAUGUCCCGAUACUUGGUGUCUCUAGAUGCCACCCCUCACCCAUUAGGUUACAAUCAGACUGUUUUUCCACUCCAUUAAUAAUUGUAUGGCCCUAACAUUUCACACAAAUACACAAGCAGAGAGUGCAAAAGCUAACUUGUGCAACCCAUUGCACUCAAAGUAUCUGAGGAUUGCGGAGUCUAAAACCAAAAACUGAGAAAUGAUUUAAUAUUUAGCUACAUUAAAUAUGCAAUUGCAUAAAGAUACCUUGUUUCAUUAAAACCAGUGAAAAUUGUCAUGGCUAGAAAUUUACAUUAAAAAAAUGCCUCUGGUAGCUUGGGAACCACAAUUUAAUCAAAAUGAUCUGGGUGCAAAAUAUUAAAUUUAAACAACAAAAAAUGUAUUUGAGACAAAUGUAGGAAUCUCGGUCUUACCAAGUUUAUAUAUCAUUAACAUAUUAAAACAAAAACUUCAUUUUGGUAGUUUGAAUUGGGGCAUGUCACACUAGAGCUGUUUCAGACAUCACAUGAUGUCUGUUUACCCUAAUGUUGUACAAAGGUUCCUUUUAAAAGAAUUCCAACAAUUCCAACUCCUUAGCGGACAAUGUACAUCUUAAACCUUUUAAAUUCUCUGGUAUAGGCAGGCAGUAGCUUGGCGGGCUACAGCACUGACAGUAACUGUGUUGACUUUGAAUCACGGAGGAAAAGAGGGAUGCCUUCAUAGCGAUGUCUUUGACCUCUAGUGACCUGAAGUCUGGCACACAUCUUGGUUGACAGGUGAACUGACAAGUCUUCCUGAUGAAGACAGAAUACAGCUUUCCUGUUACUUCUCACGACUUGCUACUUCCUGACUAGUCCCCAAACAAAACUAAAACUAAAAGGUCUAAGCAAACAGAGCGGUCCAGUCAUUUCACCACCUACAGCAUCUUUUUUUCUCAAGAAGUGUUAAUUUUACUUGCAGAGUAUCAUUAUUCAUAACCAGGUGUAAAAGUUUUCUCGUACACGAUUAGAAAGGUUUCACGAUGAGGAAACUAUGCCAAAGUGACAUUAAACGUGUGUAGAGGAAAAUAUAUCAAAUAUUUGAUGAAACACAGAGAAUAACCUGUCAGUAGUACCUUUAGCUGUUUCUUCGGUCUUGGUCUCAUUCAGGAUCUGUGUAUUUGAGUGUGUGGCAUUUUCAGUCCAUCUGGGAGAUAUCAGUCACAGGUGUAUGCAUAGUUCCUGCUCAGAGACUUCCAGCUCCAAGGUCAUUUAUUACCCAAACUCCCCUGUUAUCACUGUUAUGUUUGUUCUGAAUGCCCCCCCAGACACACGCCCCUCUCUCUGGAUUCCAGCCUGAACAUCCUUCCCUCGCCAACUCUGGGCCACAGAGCGGUCUGCUGCUCUCAUCAGGAUCCCGGAGCUCCUCUUUUUUAUAAUUUAUGUUCUUCUCCAAAUCCACCUCUAUCAGCAGAACUCAGAACGGUUGUCUUUGAGUUUCCACUGUGGAACAAUGAAUCAAGUCUUACAACAAUUUCCACUAUUUUCCCAUUUUAUCUGGAAGACAUUUUUAACAUGCUCAAUUCUUGAACAUUCUAACCCCGACUGGGAAAUAUUCAUCAAGAAUAACAAAGAGAGGGAAUUUGUUUAAAAAUAAGUUUAUUAAAAAAAACAAUAUUAUGCAGCACAUGUUCCGCUGCAGAUUCUUCAUGUAGACAUUGUGAUCACAAAUCUGUUACCUGCCAUACGUUUCUGAUCCAACAAUAAAACAUCUUAGUAAUAAGGAGUAUCCUCUGCAUUGUCAAAUCUAAUGACUUGAGGUUUGAUACAGUUUGCUUCAGAUUCAGAACCUGAA